rnacentral:rRNA from 1 species
GGAAGUAAAAGUCGUAACAAGGUUUCCGUAGGUGAACCUGCGGAAGGAUCAUUCACAAGAUUAUAUUUUAUAUUACUUUGUGGAACAUUUGGUUGAAUUUACAUGUUUUAUUACAAAAAAUUAAUUAUAAUUAAAAAAAUAAUUUUAAGAAAACCUCCAACAACGGAUCUCUUGGUUCCCAGAUCGAUGAAGAGCGCAGCGAAUUGCGAAAUGUGAUGUGUAUUGCAGUGAAUCAUCAAUUCUUGAACGCACAUGGCACCCCUUUUAGGGGUAUGCUUGUAUGAGGGUGUUUAAUAUGAAAUUGCUUUGGCUUUUUUUAAAUAAAUGGUUUUUCAAAUUGUUACUAAUAGACGAAAGAAUCAGUGCAACAAGCUGUGUUGAAUCUUUCAUUAAAUCUUUUAGUUAACUACUUUAACUAUUUGCACCUCAUAUCAAGCAAGACUACCCGCUGAACUUAAGCAUAUCAAUAAGCGGAGGAAGCU